GUGUGCCACGUGACGGACAUGCCAGCACAGUUCCAUGCGGGAAGCCAAAUGGGUGAUCCGCGUGCUAGGCUGAUCGAACGGUUCACAGCCACUACCGCACACGUGAACGAUCGAGAUUGAUUCCCCGAAUAGACUUGAUCGAACGACCCGCGUCUCUCCAAUCGGACGGUCCAGAUUAGUUUUUUCAUUAAGUGCGAUCGGACGACCUUUGUUGCUCCACAUGUCCCUGCACAGAUGGUCCAGAUCAAAGCCGAUAAGGUAUUUAAACCUCUCUACCUAGGUUCCCAAAAACCCUAGCCGCCAAGACCACCAGAUAAAAAGAAGAAAAGUGACAAAAAGAGAAUCAGUCACCGGAAGAGAAGCCGAACCCGUCAUCGCCGCACUGGAGACCCAAAUCGAUGUUGGAAAACUUGAGGGGAAGUCAGAAACAAAGGGCGGAGCUCGACUAAGCCACCGCACUCAAAACAAAAAAACUACUCUAAUGAGCCCGAACCCUUUUUUUAUUUCCUUCUAUUUCUCAGCCCUAGACUAUCUAACAUGUUUUCGGGCAAGGUGACCGAAGGAAAGCUACGACUGUGAGGAAGAAGCGGUAGAGCCACCACACCAGAAAGCCAGAACCGCUCGUUUUCACCCAGAACUGGCCAAAACCAGCCUGACCAAGAGGAGGAGUCGCAGUAGAAGGCAGAACCAGCGGCGGAGCAUGGCAACAACACCGUGACAGAAUCCUAAACCGGCCCCCAAAAAAUCCAAAAAAUCUAGGAACCGGGAACUUCCAAAAAGCGUAGUAGAAAAAACAGUAUUCCAGACAUCGACUGGAGUAAGAAUGUCU